UAGGGAAUCUUCGGCAAUGGGGGCAACCCUGACCGAGCAACGCCGCGUGAGUGAAGAAGGUUUUCGGAUCGUAAAGCUCUGUUGUAAGAGAAGAACGUGUGUGAGAGUGGAAAGUUCACACAGUGACGGUAACUUACCAGAAAGGGACGGCUAACUACGUGCCAGCAGCCGCGGUAAUACGUAGGUCUCGAGCGUUGUCCUGAUUUAUUGGGCGUAAAGCGAGCGCAGGCGGUUUAAUAAGUCUGAAUUUAAAGGCAGUGGCUUAACCAUUGUUCGCUUUGGAAGCUGUUAAACUUGAGUGCAGAAGGGGAGAGUGGAAUUCCAUGUGUAGCGGUGAAAUGCGUAGAUAUAUGGAGGAACACCGGUGGCGAAAGCGGCUCUCUGGUCUGUAACUGACGCUGAGGCGCGAAAGCGUGGGGAGCAAACAGG
rnacentral:rRNA from 1 species